CGUAUAUCCCACAAACACGUUUUAAUUCAGCUGCUUUUACCGUGUGUGAUCAUGCAGACACGUAAAGUCCAGCAAACUCGUCCUAAAAGGGUUAAACGAUAAAAAAAAGAAGGAUAAGAAGAGAAAACGAGAUGAUGAUGAAGACGAGAUGAAUAUUGUUGGCAACCGCUAAAGUCAGGCUAAGGGAAGUAUUUAGGUAUAAACUCAGACGGUGUUGUGGUUAGUCGAUCAGAUGCCAUUGGCUCCAGGGAACAGUGGGAAACAGUGUUUCAGAAAGGUAAAAUGGCCUUGCUUGCUGCAGAAAGUUGUUUCAUCUGGUACAUUGAGAGUGGAGACAUAGUGGCCAAAAGCAAGACGGCUGGAGAGGAGGAGAUGAUCAAGAUCCGUUCAUGCACAGAAAGAGAGGUGAAGAGAAAAAGACAGGAGAGCCAAGAUGAAGGCUGACAGAUACUGCAAGUGAAUCCAGAAGUGUUUUUCUUUUCAUCUUCAUCAAUUAAAUUGAAUUAAACUGAGCAUGGAAUCACUGCCAUUUUUUUAUAGAUAAUAAACCUAGUCACUUUUUAUAAGAAAA